AUACUUUUCGUCCCUCCGAUAAAAUUGGAACCAUACAUAGAAGAUUAGCAUGACAUCUCCCUCUGCGCAAAGAUGACACGCACUGACGCACAAAUCUAGAAAUGAUCCAAAUUUUU
rnacentral:snRNA from 1 species